CUGGGGAACACGGGAGUGACACACUCCAUCCUUGUGGGCAACGACUUGCCAAUGCACUCCUGAAACAAAACAGUCAGGUUUCAGGUGGCUCUCAUUGGGUUUAAAGCGGAUGAUGGUGCGAUAAACAGAAUCCAGGUUCUCCCCUUCAAUGACGAUCUUUGACCCCCUACAGUGGAGAUAAAUGAUGGACACAUUUUCAUCCUGGCUGUACGAAGGGAACCAUUUCUCCUACAACUGAUAAAACACCUUUGUGGUGAGGACAGGAGACUUGUCGAUGAAAACACUCAGGGGGACAUCCCUCACCUCUGAGAUGGGCUGGGACAGACAAAUGAUGGACGACACGUUGCCUUUUGGCUUUGUGACCCUGCAGACAGACACAGGUUGGGACGUGUUUAAUAAGUCGUGCCAAUAAAACAUUCUGAGCAGCGACUCCUCCUGAUCUCCAGGGAGCAAGGAACAACAUAUGGAUAAGAACAGUCUUUAUAGGCACGGUGCAGGCGGUCUGUCCCAGUCGGACCUGAUGGGUUCUGGAGGUGAUGGCGGGUCUUAAGGGCGACUGGAACUCCC